GAACAUAAAUUGUGAACAUCAUUCAGAUAGAAAUGUUGAAGAUAUAAAAGUUCAAUUCAAUACAAGACCAAAAUCGCAGUAUUGAAGUAAACGGCAAAACUCUUAAGCCACAAGUUGACAGAGCUAACCUAUACCCAGUUGAUUUCUCUAUAUCUGACGUUUGUUUUGAAAGCAAUGAAAAUAAUUUAAAUUAUUCAGAUAGUGAUUUGUAUUUAAAUG
rnacentral:lncRNA from 1 species